AGUGGGAUAGCUGGGUCAAAUGGUGGUUCCAGUCCAAGUUUUCUGAGGAAUCUCCAUACUGCUUUCCAGAGAGGUUGCAGCAAUUUGCAGUUCUACCAGCAAU
rnacentral:pre_miRNA from 1 species